GCACCCCUCGGGGUUGCAAACAAUAAAGAUUGGAAACAAUACAGAGAAGAUUAGCAUGGCCCCUGCACAAGGAUGACACGCUUUUCCAGAAUGGUAGACCUACGGGUCUCAAUAUUUAU
rnacentral:snRNA from 1 species